rnacentral:rRNA from 1 species
GGCGAACGCUGGCGGCGUGCUUAACACAUGCAAGUCGAACGUAAAGGCCCUGCUUUUGUGGGGUGCUCGAGUGGCGAACGGGUGAGUAACACGUGAGUAACCUGCCCUUGACUUUGGGAUAACUUCAGGAAACUGGGGCUAAUACCGGAUAGGAGCUCCUGCUGCAUGGUGGGGGUUGGAAAGUUUCGGCGGUUGGGGAUGGACUCGCGGCUUAUCAGCUUGUUGGUGGGGUAGUGGCUUACCAAGGCUUUGACGGGUAGCCGGCCUGAGAGGGUGACCGGCCACAUUGGGACUGAGAUACGGCCCAGACUCCUACGGGAGGCAGCAGUGGGGAAUAUUGCACAAUGGGCGGAAGCCUGAUGCAGCAACGCCGCGUGCGGGAUGACGGCCUUCGGGUUGUAAACCGCUUUCGCCUGUGACGAAGCGUGAGUGACGGUAAUGGGUAAAGAAGCACCGGCUAACUACGUG